rnacentral:rRNA from 1 species
UACAGAGGUCUCAAGCGUUGUUCGGAUUCAUUGGGCGUAAAGGGUGCGUAGGCGGCGCGGUAAGUCGGGUGUGAAAUCUCGGGGCUUAACUCCGAAACUGCAUUCGAUACUGCCGUGCUUGAGGACUGGAGAGGAGACUGGAAUUUACGGUGUAGCGGUGAAAUGCGUAGAUAUCGUAAGGAAGACCAGUGGCGAAGGCGGGUCUCUGGACAGUUCCUGACGCUGAGGCACGAAGGCCAGGGGAGUAAACGGG